rnacentral:rRNA from 1 species
UAAACUGAAGAGUUUGAUCCUGGCUCAGAUUGAACGCUGGCGGAAUGCUUUACACAUGCAAGUCGAACGAUGAUUUCUAGCUUGCUAGAAUGAUUAGUGGCGAACGGGUGAGUAAUGUAUCGGAACGUAUCCAAUAAUGGGGGAUAACUAAUCGAAAGGUUGGCUAAUACCGCAUACGCCCUACGGGGGAAAGCAGGGGAUCUUCGGACCUUGCGUUAAUGGAGCGGCCGAUAUCUGAUUAGCUAGUUGGUGAGGUAAAAG